rnacentral:rRNA from 1 species
AGUUCUGGGCCGCACGCGCGUUACACUGACGGGGCCAGCGAGUUCUUCCUUGUCCGAAAGGUCCGGGUAAUCUUGUGAAACCCCGUCGUGCUGGGGAUAGAGCAUUGCAAUUAUUGCUCUUCAACGAGGAAUCCCUAGUAAGCGCAAGUCAUCAGCUUGCGUUGAUUACGUCCCUGCCCUUUGUACACACCGCCCGUCGCUACUACCGAUUGAAUGGCUCAGUGAGGCUUUCGGACUGGUCCGGAGUGGGGGGCGACCCCCGUUCUGGACCGGAAAGUUAUCCGAACUCGGUCAUUUAGAGGAAGUAAAAGUCGUAACAAGGUCUCCGUUGGUGAACCAGCGGAGGGAUCAUUACCGAGUUUACACUCAUAACCCUUUGUGAACAUUAUAACUUGUUGCUUCGGCGGCUUCUUCGGGAGCCCGCCGGCGUUUCAGUAUCUCUGUUUGUACCCGACGAUACAUCUGAGUGUUCUUAGCGAACUAUAAAAACUUUUAACAACGGAUCUCUUGGUUCUAGCAUCGAUGAAGAACGCAGCGAAACGCGAUAUGUAAUGUGAAUUGCAGAAUUCAGUGAAUCAUCGAAUCUUUGAACGCACAUUGCGCCUUCCAGUAUUCUGGGAGGCAUGCCUGUCCAACGUCGUUUCACCCUCAAGCCCUCGUGGGUUGGUGUUGGAGUCCUACAGUCUUGUAGUCUCCCAAAACCAGUGGGGGAACCGUCCGGCCCUUCCUUUGCGUAAUACAUUCGCCUCCAUCGGGAGCCCCGGGAUUUUUGGCUCUAAACCCCCCCAGUCCCUCCGGGGCCAGGGUGACUCGGACAGGAGGAUACCCCUGAAUUUACCUUUCAUAACGGGGGAAA